CAAGGCAGGGUUCGAGGUUCUGGAGUGUUCAUGAGAUCCUCUUUUGGUCUUCACCUUUCACUCCACGGAAUCAAAAGCAAGUGCUGAGUUCCGUGUUCCUAUUCACAAAAACAUGUAGAGCACCAAAGCCAACUUGCCAUCAAAGUUUAAUAAUAUAUUUUAUAUAUAUUAUACCAUUUGCUUAACAGUAGUAUUAAUAUUGCUGUUGUGGUGUGUGAUUUUGGUGUCUCUUUUUUAAUGUUAUGGUUGUACGGAGUUCGUGUGUUAGUUCAAUUCGUCGACAAGAAACCUUGGUUUGAUAAUUGAUUGGUUCUGUGGAGAGUUUUCCUUUGGUGUGGUUGGUUUGUUGGUGGUGGUGAGAAUAGCAAUGGCUAAUGAAGGAAACAAAAGCAAUGACUUCUAUACGAUCUUGGGGUUGAACAAGGAGUGCACUGAAUUGGAGCUAAAGAAUGCAUAUAAGAAACUUGCAAAGAAAUGGCACCCGGAUCGUUGUUCUGCAUCUGGGAAUUCAGAGUUAGUGGAACAAGCUAAGAAGAAAUUCCAGGAAAUUGGGGAAGCCUAUUCUGUUUUAUCUGACGCCAACAAAAGGCUAAUGUACGACGUUGGUGUCUACGAUAGUGAUGACGACGAAAACGGCAUGGGGGACUUUUUGGACGAAAUGUUAACAAUGAUGAGUCAGACCAAAUCAAAUGAAAAUGGAGAGGAGAGCUUUGAGGAGUUGCAACAGUUGUUUGAAGACAUGUUUCAAGCAGAUAUCGGAUUGGAUGGAAGCCCUUCUCUUUCUUCUGCAGAUUGCUCUAAUUCAUCUGCUUACAUGACAUACAGUGAAAGUUCUAGUUCAAAUAAACGCAAUUCCACUGAGAUGAAAUUUGGGAAGGCAGAGGAUUCCUCUGUCUUUGAUACCAGUUACCAGAAUUUCUGUUUUGGGGUGAACCUACUCCAAGAUAUAGAGGAAGGAAAGGAGAGAAUUCCAGAAGGAGGAGGUAGCAAAAGAUGUAGAAAUGGCAGAAAGCAAAAAAUGUCCUAUGAACAUGAUGUUUUAAUCUGAUGAUAGCUAGCAAGGAAUUUGCAGAGUAAUGAAGUUGUAGAAUUCAAAAUUUAUGAGAGAAAAGGAUUAAGGAAGAGCAUAGUUUAUACAGAAAUAGUUCAAGAACUAGGCCAUUGUGACUUCCUGCCAUGCCAUAUCCAAAGACCAUGCCUAAAGUAGACAGGGAAAAGAAAGGAUAAGGAGGGUAACACUAACACAACACAACAGAAACUUAUUCACUGUGAUAUUUGACCAAUUGUCCAAUUCACAAAUGUAGAAUGCAACAUUCUGCCUUAAAAGAUAUUUUGAUCACAUCACGAAAACAUGUGGAACUAAUGAAAAGAUGAAAUCAAGCAAAGGACAAUGGCAGGUGGUGGAAAUUAAUUCUAGAAAUGGAUUGGUCCUACAGCACGUGGAGAGAGACCCCACAUGCUAUGGAACUUAAAUUCUUAAUUAAAAAAUAAAGCAGAUUCAGAUACACACUUCUAGUUCACUUUUGGGUUUGAAAGCAUUUUCGGAGCAAGAGCUUGCAAGUAGCCAAAUAUUUUAAUUGCCAGAACUAUAAUUUGUGGGUCCUUGAGGCAGAAUAAUUGGUUGGCUUUUGUUGCACAAGUUGUUCUGUAAGUUGUGCUUUUAAUGAGUAAUGAUAUUAUGAUAUAAUUUUAUAUUCAUUUGAUACUA